UGCGUAGGCGGACUUAUAAGUCAGUGGUGAAAUCUUGCAGCUUAACUGUAAAACUGCCAUUGAUACUGUUAGUCUUGAAUUUAGUUGAGGUAGGCGGAAUGUAUUGUGUAGCGGUGAAAUGCAUAGAUAUAAUACAGAACACCGAUUGCGAAGGCAGCUUACUAAGCUAUAAUUGACGCUGAUGCACGAAAGCGUGGGGAGCGAACAGGAUUAGAUACCCUGGUAGUCC
rnacentral:rRNA from 1 species